GCCGGUGGUGCAUGCCUGUAGUUCCAGCUACUUGGGAGGCUGAGGUGGGAGGAUCACUUGACCCUAGGAGUUCUGGGCUGUAGUGCACUAUGUGGAUCAGGUGUUCACACUAAGUUCAGCUUCAAUUUGGUGACUUCCUGGGAGCAGGGUUGCCUAAGGAGGGGUGAACUGGCCCAGGUGAGAAACGGAGCAGGUCAAAACUCCUGUGUUGAUCAGUAGUGGAUCGUGCCUGUGAACAGCCACUGCAGUCCAGCCUAGACAACAUAGCAAGACCCCAUUUCUA
ensembl:misc_RNA Metazoa_SRP Metazoan signal recognition particle RNA